GAUGAUCGCUGGCGGCGUGCCUAAUACAUGCAAGUCGAGCGAACAGACGAGGAGCUUGCUCCUCUGACGUUAGCGGCGGACGGGUGAGUAACACGUGGAUAACCUACCUAUAAGACUGGGAUAACUUCGGGAAACCGGAGCUAAUACCGGAUAAUAUAUUGAACCGCAUGGUUCAAUAGUGAAAGACGGUUUUGCUGUCACUUAUAGAUGGAUCCGCGCCGCAUUAGCUAGUUGGUAAGGUAACGGCUUACCAAGGCAACGAUGCGUAGCCGAUCUGAGAGGGUGAUCAGCCACACUGGAACUGAGACACGGUCCAGACUCCUACGGGAGGCAGCAGUAGGGAAUAUUGCGCAAAGGGCGGAAGCCUGACGGAGCAACGCCGCGUGAGUGAAGAAGGCCUUCGGAUCGUAAAACUCUGUUAUUAGGGAAGAAAAACUGUGUAAGUAAAUCUGCACGUCUUGACGGUACCUAAUCAGAAAGCCCCGGCUAACUACGUG
rnacentral:rRNA from 1 species